rnacentral:rRNA from 3 species
UGGGGAAUAUUGCACAAUGGGCGAAAGCCUGAUGCAGCGACGCCGCGUGAGGGAUGACGGCCUUCGGGUUGUAAACCUCUUUCAGUAGGGAAGAAGCGAAAGUGACGGUACCUGCAGAAGAAGCGCCGGCUAACUACGUGCCAGCAGCCGCGGUAAUACGUAGGGCGCAAGCGUUAUCCGGAAUUAUUGGGCGUAAAGAGCUCGUAGGCGGUUUGUCGCGUCUAUCGUGAAAGUCCGAGGCUCAACCUCGGAUCUGCGGUGGGUACGGGCAGACUAGAGUGAUGUAGGGGAGACUGGAAUUCCUGGUGUAGCGGUGAAAUGCGCAGAUAUCAGGAGGAACACCGAUGGCGAAGGCAGGUCUCUGGGCAUUAACUGACGCUGAGGAGCGAAAGCAUGGGGAGCGAACAGG